rnacentral:rRNA from 1 species
AGCCCGGAGAUGGACACUGAGACAAGGGUCCAGGCCCUAAGGGGCGCAGCAACCGCGAAACCUCCACGAUGCACUCACGUGCGAUGGGGCUAUCUCGAGUGCCACCUGAUGAAGGUGGCUUUUCCUUGGUCUUCAAAGCCUUGGGAAUAAGAGGGGGGCAAGACUGGUGUCAGCCGCCGCGGUAACACCAGCCCCUCGAGUGGUGGGGAUGAUUAUUUGGCCUAAAGCGUCCGUAGCCGGCCGAGCAAGUCUUCCGUUAAAUCCAGCGUCUCAAGCGUUGGACCGCGGGAGAUACUACACGGCUAGAGAGUGGGAGAGGUCAGCGGUAUUCUGGGGGUAGGGGCGAAAUCCUUUGAUCCCCGGAGGACCACCAGUGGCGAAGGCUGCUGACUAGAACACGUCUGACGGUCAGGGACGAAAGCUGGGGUAGCGAACCGGAUUAGAUACCCGGGUAGUCCCAGCCGUAAACGAUGCAUGCUAGGUGUUGGGUUGGCCACGAGCCACCCCAGUGCCGCAGGGAAGCCGUUAAGCAUGCCGCCUGGGAAGUACGAUCGCAAGAUUGAAACUUAAAGGAAUUGGCGGGGGAGCACAAUCG